rnacentral:lncRNA from 1 species
AUUCACAGGUUCCAUCGUUCCCAUCGCUUCUUACUUAAUGGUUAGGUCUUAUUUCUACAAUGGAGCUCAUAAUUAAAUUUUUUCUUGAGCCGAUUUUCUUAGUCUUUAUUGGCUUGAAGCUCUUUUUUUUUUGUUCUAUGAACGGAUUCGUUUUGUUUUUUAUGAAUCCAUAUUGAUUGAUGCUUUAUAUUACAUUGCUUUUUUAUGAGACUUUAUGAGAUGACUCAUAAACCUUACAUAUAAACCUUACAUAUUGGAUGGAAUUUUAUAUCGUUGUUUUUUCUCCCCUUCUUUCACCCUUACAUAAUAUCUUACGCAUCCAAUUUAACCGCGCGACCAUUAUAACAAAGCCUGUUGAAGAUACUCUAACAUGCUAUCUGAGGUGGAAGGCUAGUGGCCAAAACAUAAAUCAUGUGUACGAUAAUUCAAUGAUUUUUCCUUUCAUAAGUUAAAUCAGCGGUUAUGAUAUUUUUAAAUGGGUAAUCCAUGCUAGACACGCAGACACUCUUCCGACUUCCGUAAAUAUUAAUAUCGUGGGAUGGUCAGAUUUGUAGCACAUCCC